AACGCUGGCGGCGUGCCUAAUACAUGCAAGUCGAACGCGAAGCCUGACUUCGGUGAGGUGGAGAGUGGCGGACGGGUGAGUAACACAUGGCUGACCUGCCCUUCAGAGGGGGACAACUGCUGGAAACGGCAGCUAAUACCCCAUACGCUCGUGGUGGUUAGGGGACUACGAGGAAAGGCUGAGGUGCUGAGGGAGGGGGCUGUGGCCCAUCAGCUAGUUGGUAGGGUAACGGCCUACCAAGGCGAGGACGGGUAGGGGGCCUGAGAGGGUGACCCCCCACACUGGAACUGAGAGACGGUCCAGACUCCUACGGGAGGCAGCAGUAAGGGAUAUUGCGACAAUGGGCGAAAGCCUGACGCAGCAACGCCGCGUGCGGGAGGAAGGCCUUCGGGUUGUAAACCGCUUUUGAGGGGGAAGAGGAAGGACGGUACCCUUCGAAUAAGUCUCGGCUAACUACGUGCCAGCAGCCGCGGUAAAACGUAGGAGGCGGGCGUUAUCCGGAUUUACUGGGUGUAAAGCGCGUGCAGGCGGUGGGACAAGUUAACUGUGAAAGCGCCCGGCUCAACCGGGCGAGGACAGUUAAGACUGUUCGACUGGAGGCAGGUAGAGGUGUGUGGAAUUCCGGGUGUAGUGGUGAAAUGCGUAGAGAUUCGGAGGAACACCAGUGGCGAAGGCGACACACUGGGCCUGGCCUGACGCUCAGACGCGAAAGCAUGGGGAGCGAACGGGAUUAGAUACCCUGGUAGUCCACGCCGUAAACGAUGUUCACUAGGUGUUGAGGGUAUUGACCCCUUCAGUGCCGAAGCUAACGCAUUAAGUGAACCGCCUGGGGAGUACGGUCGCAAGAUUAAAACUCAAAGGAAUUGACGGGGGCCCGCACAAGCGGUGGAGCAUGUGGUUUAAUUCGAGGCAACGCGAAGAACCUUACCUGGGCUUGACAUACACCGGACCGCAUCUGAAAGGAUGCUUCCCUUCGGGGUCGGUAACAGGNGCUGCAUGGCUGUCGUCAGCUCGUGCCGUGAGGUGUUGGGUUAAGUCCCGCAACGAGCGCAACCCUCGCCCUUAGUUGCCAUCAGGUUAUGCUGGGAACUCUAAGGGGACUGCCAGUGAUAAGCUGGAGGAAGGUGGGGAUGAUGUCAAGUCAUCAUGGCCCUUACACCCAGGGCUACACACGUACUACAAUGGCCGGUACAGAGGGCUGCAAGACUGCAAAGUGGAGCCAAUCCCUAAAACCGGUCUCAGUUCAGAUUGGAGUCUGCAACUCGACUUCAUGAAGGUGGAAUCGCUAGUAAUCGCAGAUCAGCACGCUGCGGUGAAUACGUUCCCGGGCCUUGUACACACCGCCCGUCAAGCCACGAAAGUUGGGGGCACCCAAAGUCGUUUGCCUAACCGCAAGGAGGGCGGCGCCUAAGGUGAAACCGAUAUGG
rnacentral:rRNA from 1 species